rnacentral:rRNA from 1 species
ACGAACGCUGGCGGCGUGCCUAAUACAUGCAAGUAGAACGCUGAAGAGAGGAGCUUGCUCUUCUUGGAUGAGUUGCGAACGGGUGAGUAACGCGUAGGUAACCUGCCUUGUAGCGGGGGAUAACUAUUGGAAACGAUAGCUAAUACCGCAUAACAAUGGAUGACACAUGUCAUUUAUUUGAAAGGGGCAAUUGCUCCACUACAAGAUGGACCUGCGUUGUAUUAGCUAGUAGGUGAGGUAAUGGCUCACCUAGGCGACGAUACAUAGCCGACCUGAGAGGGUGAUCGGCCACACUGGGACUGAGACACGGCCCAGACUCCUACGGGAGGCAGCAGUAGGGAAUCUUCGGCAAUGGGGGCAACCCUGACCGAGCAACGCCGCGUGAGUGAAGAAGGUUUUCGGACCGUAAAGCUCUGUUGUAAGUCAAGAACGGGUGUGAGAGUGGAAAGUUCACACUGUGACGGUAGCUUACCAGAAAGGGACGGCUAACUACGUG